rnacentral:rRNA from 1 species
UACGUAGGGCGCGAGCGUUGUCCGGAAUUACUGGGCGUAAAGGGCGCGUAGGCGGGAUGGCAAGUCGGUCGUGAAAUCCCUCGGCUCAACCGAGGAACGUCGAUCGAUACUGCUGUUCUUGAGGAUUGCAGAGGAGACUGGAAUUCCCGGUGUAGCGGUGAAAUGUGUAGAGAUCGGGAGGAACACCGGUGGCGAAGGCGGGUCUCUGGGCAAUUCCUGACGCUGAGGCGCGAAAGCGUGGGGAGCAAACGGG